GUUUGUGUGUUUAUUUGAGUCAGUGUUGACUCCAGGCUGCUACCCUGGCAGACCACUUCAGUUUUCUUGGCAAGGUUUUUUUAAGAAAUUAUUUGCCACUAUUUCCUUCCUAGGGGUAAGGUCAACCAGCUGGAUGUGCGCCCAUGAGAACUCAGCUCUGUCACAAUUCAAUUUUCCCUCAUACCUCAAAUAUCUAAAAUUUGAUUGUAGAAAAAAUAGUUCCAGUAGUUUAAGCAGGUGAGUCAAACUACAUGCUAUAAGUGACUGAACAUUCCAAGUGAUAAAAUUGACCAGAUGUUAAAAGAAGUCCAGAUCCAUGGACUUUUUUUAGCAGGUAUUACUUUAUUGUACUUAGAGAUUCUAGUCUUGUAAUCAAAUGAACUGAAAGAUUUCAUGAGUACCAGUUUGCUGUAAUGGUUCAAAGCACCACAGUAGAAACAAAGAGGCAAGGACAUUUAGUCCCACCUUAGGCAUGAAGCCAGCUGAGUGACUUUGGGCCAAUCACUCGCUCAGUUCUAGGAAGAAGGCCAUAGCAAACCACUUUUGAAAAUUCUGCCAAGAAAAUUGCAGGGACUUGUCCAGGCAAUCUCUAAAAGUCAAGAAUGAUUUGAAGGAACACUCAUGCAUGCUUACACACAGAGAUACAAAUACACAUUUAAUGCAGUUUGUUUUCAGCAAUUUCUAUAAAGGAUAAAAGUUGCUUUUUAAAGUUGCUCUUUUAAAAAAUGGCUACAAAAGUCCAAGGGUUUUUUUUACCUGUCAGGGGGCCUAUCUUAUAUACCCCUCUUUUCUAAAAAAAAAAGUAUAUUUCAGUUUAGUUCAGGCUUUCAGGUCUUUUCUUUUUGCCAAAGCCCAAAUUGGAAUCUUUGGGGAAAGAUAAUUUAAUUUCAGUGGUUGGGUCAAUAUCAGUAGUGGAAAUUUCAACAUUUCCUGGGAAGGAGGCUAUCAACAAUGAUGGCACAGGCAAAGCAAAAUAAGCAGUAAAUAUUUUAUCCUUUCCAACUCCUUUCUCUUUCCCAUAGAAAUUUGUGGUAUUUUCCUCAUUUGGCCAGGGUCAAAUGAGUGUUUACCCAAGUAUCCUUUUGUUCAAAAUUCUUCCUUGAAUUUAAAGACAGCCCAACAACUGGGCCCUGUGAUGUUGUUUUUCCCUUAAGCAUUUGCAAGUCAGCAGCUGGCACAUCUCAAGUGGAGCUUAGGAGUGAAAUAGAUCAUUGUUUGAAAUAGAUCUGCUUCA